rnacentral:rRNA from 1 species
UACGGAGGGUGCGAGCGUUGUCCGGAAUUACUGGGCUUAAAGGGUGCGUAGGCGGCGCUGCAAGUCUGGCGUGAAAGUUUGCGGCUCAACCGUAAAAUUGCUUUUGAUACUGCUGUGCUAGAAUUAGGAUGAGGUCAGCGGAAUGUGGCAUGUAGCGGUGAAAUGCAUAGAUAUGCCAUAGAACACCAAUUGCGAAGGCAGCUGGCUAGACCUAUAUUGACGCUGAGGCACGAAAGCGUGGGGAGCGAACAGG